rnacentral:piRNA from 1 species
UCUUUCGAUUUUGCGCCUCUGUUUGGAGC